rnacentral:rRNA from 1 species
UACGUAGGGGGCAAGCGUUGUCCGGAAUCAUUGGGCGUAAAGCGCGUGUAGGCGGCCCGGUAAGUCCGCUCUGAAAGUCCAGGGCUCAACCCUGGGAUGCGGGUGGAUACUGCCGGGCUCGAGUCCGGAAGAGGCGAGUGGAAUUCCCGGUGUAGCGGUGAAAUGCGCAGAUAUCGGGAGGAACACCAAUGGCGAAGGCAGCUCGCUGGGACGUGACUGACGCUGAGACGCGAAAGCGUGGGGAGCAAACAGG